CUUCCAAUCUGUAUGCAUUUCUCUAAACUGAGAUCAGUCUCUCUGAGUAAGCGCUCUCUUAAGUGUGGGUCACAUGUGCCACACACAAUCCUGUCCCUGAUAAGAGAGUCUGUGAUUACUCCAAAGUUGCAGGUGGCCACUGGAGUCCUCAAUUCAGUGAGAUAUUUGUCUAAACUCUCAUCUUGGCCCUGACUUCGCAUGAAAAAAAUUAUAUCUCUCAAUUGUUUCAUUUUUCUUGGGAUCACAAAAUGCAUCCAGUGCUGCAAUUACUUCCUCAACAGAGAGAUUGUCUUUUGUACUGCCCACACAGUCUCACAAAUAUCUCUGCCUUUUUCCCCAAUGAGAUAAUACAGUAGCUUCACUUUGUA